GCUGCUAAAGGGCAGCACAUAUGCUAAAACUGGAACGAUACAGAGAAGAUUAGCAUGGCCCCUGCACAGGAUGAUGACAUUCAAAUUCGGGAAGCAUUCCUUUUUUUU